AGUGAACGCUGGCGGUAGGCCUAACACAUGCAAGUCGAACGGCAGCACAGUAAGAGCUUGCUCUUACGGGUGGCGAGUGGCGGACGGGUGAGGAAUACAUCGGAAUCUACUUUUUCGUGGGGGAUAACGUGGGGAAACUUACGCUAAUACCGCAUACGACCUACGGGUGAAAGCAGGGGAUCUUCGGACCUUGCGCGAGUGAAUGAGCCGAUGUCGGAUUAGCUAGUUGGCGGGGUAAAGGCCCACCAAGGCGACGAUCCGUAGCUGGUCUGAGAGGAUGAUCAGCCACACUGGAACUGAGACACGGUCCAGACUCCUACGGGAGGCAGCAGUGGGGAAUAUUGGACAAUGGGCGCAAGCCUGAUCCAGCCAUACCGCGUGGGUGAAGAAGGCCUUCGGGUUGUAAAGCCCUUUUGUUGGGAAAGAAAAGCAGCAGGUUAAUACCCCGCUGUUCUGACGGUACCCAAAGAAUAAGCACCGGCUAACUUCGUG
rnacentral:rRNA from 1 species